rnacentral:rRNA from 1 species
ACGAACGCUGGCGGCGUGCUUCACACCUGCAAGUCGCACGGAAAGGCCCUGCUUUUGUGGGGUGCUCGAGUGGCGAACGGGUGAGUAACACGUGAGUAACCUGCCCUUGACUUUGGGAUAACUUCAGGAAACUGGGGCUAAUACCGGAUAGGAGCUCCUGCUGCAUGGUGGGGGUUGGAAAGUUUCGGCGGUUGGGGAUGGACUCGCGGCUUAUCAGCUUGUUGGUGGGGUAGUGGCUUACCAAGGCUUUGACGGGUAGCCGGCCUGAGAGGGUGACCGGCCACAUUGGGACUGGGAUACGGCCCAGACUCCUACGGGAGGCAGCAGUGGGGAAUAUUGCACAAUGGGCGGAAGCCUGAUGCAGCAACGCCGCGUGCGGGAUGACGGCCUUCGGGUUGUAAACCGCUUUCGCCUGUGACGAAGCGUGAGUGACGGUAAUGGGUAAAGAAGCACCGGCUAACUACGUG